GACACGGCGAGGACUGCAGCACCGCAUCCUCUCUGUGGCAAAAAGCCCACAGAUAAGCCAGCUAACAAGGCUAACCGCAGUAUACACAAGCUAUCGGGCUAUCGUCUCGACUACAUUUACGAACCACUACAUAAAUGAUAACCGGUCAACCGCAGGCUGACACAUGUGUUUGUAAUGCAGCGACAGCUCUGCGUCUGCACGCAGUUAACUAGCGCGUCGGCGCUAACAUGCUAACGCGGAACGAAUACACACCAAGCUAACAAGCGUUAGCUACAUGUUGUAAACAACCGCUGUGAGUGGCUAACGCUGCAUGCCACGUAACGUUAUUUAGCGAAACAGCCAGCACUACUCUAUUGAAACAAGAGAAAUAACUAUUGGAAGACGACACGCUGGAUGUAAAAAAAAUGUAAACCAUUGACGACAAAGGUUUGGCUCCUGUAACCCCCACUCAGGCCUCUGGAGGUGGGUGCUGACUGAUACCCAACCUCCCUCUGGCUCCUCUCCCACUUCUCGCCUGUCCUGUCCCUGCCCGAACCCACCAUGUGCCCUUGUCCCCGGGAUCAGAGUUUUGGUUGGAGCUGCUGUAAAUCACCUCUGUACUGCAUUCCCUGCCGUCAAACUAGCAUCCAUUUAUCUCGCCGGCUGCGUUCAGUCCAGGUCAGACCGUGUUCACUGGGAGCCACGUUCCACCCUGCCAAUAGCCUGACGCCUGGCGCCCAGUCUGGCGCCCAGUCUGGCGCCGCUCCUGGCCAGCACACCCUGCUGGGUCCCGCCCGACCUGGGCUUGAAAACCUCCUCCUCCUGGCGGUCCAAAGCUCCUGUGCUGGCGGCGUUGACACUUACACUCAAUCCAAGCUCCCAUCUGGGCAGAGUCAGCUCACAGACAUAUGCUAUAACAGCUAAUGGGACUGCUAGCUGCAUGGCUAACUGAGCUAACUAGCUAACAGUAGCUACAGUUGGCAGAAGUUAGGGGUAACUCUGGUGAUAGACCGUCGCCUAUUUCUUUUAAGUGUGAAUUCAACAGGUGGUUAAUUCUUACAUAUAGCACCUUUAAAUAUCAGUUAAAUGCUGCAUGGCCAUUGUUGUGUGUUGACUUUUUACCAUUAGCAGAAUUUAAAACACAGCUGCCAUUUAUUCACCAAAAUCCAAUCAGCUCUUUUAAAAAAUAAUUACUCAACUAAGUUGACUAUCGGCAUGCUAAUUAGCUGGAGAUACAAUGAUUCAUUAAAGCUGAAGGAAUAACUAUACAUAAUAUUUUAGCUAUGUUUUAUCUCUGAGGGCAGUUGAUCGGGCAAAGACUCAAGUCAGGACAGAAGCCAGACAUCAUGUCCUGCCUAUUAGCUCCACACUGCCAGGCUCAUCUAUCUUUAUUGGUCAUCCAUUAGCCUGCAUUAAAGGGAGACACGGGAUAAUAGCAGUAAUGAUGCUGAUGAUGGAAUUAGACUGCGGGCACACACGUCAUCAGUGAAGUGUUGCGCCGGGAAUCAUAAAGAGUUCCCACUGACAAACGGACAGAUGGACAGACGGAUAAAAUAAACUACCACUUUAUGCUUCUGAUCAGUGUAUGUGUGUAAAUAUGUGUGACAGAAAAAUAGAGUGAGAAAAAGACAACAAGACUAGUUUAGGUGAAAAAAUAUCUUUAGGGUGUGCGCAUUAACUUUACGGCACGUAGACAGCCAGUCUAAAGGCAGCACCUGUGCCAAUCUGCAGGAUGGACAGAUGCUGGUACAGGUGUGUGCGUGAUGAUGGUUGGCAGGGGCGAGCGCCAGCCUGAGCAACAGCAUACAGAGAACAGACCCAGCAAAAUGACGAUGACAGCCGGGAUGGAGGGAUCAUUAAGGCACCUUUCUGGAAAGAUGCUCAGGAUCAGGAAAGAUCAGGAAAGCACUGAGAAAAAUUAAGAUAUGGGUGUCUGGUUCCAAGAUGACGGAUUCAGAGAAGCAUAAAUAUCUUUUAUGGGCAACGCGCUGCUACGAUCAAUCACAACUGUUUACAGUCCGGGGUAAAACCGUUUUCCUAUUUUGGUUGGAGGCAUCUCACCAGUCUUUCUCUUAUUAUGCCUCUUAAUUAGCUCCGCAUGAAUUACUAAUCAACCAUGAAGAAGGCAUUCACCAAUUUAAAAAGUGAUAGCCCAUGAAAUGAACAGCACAGCCUCAUACAAGCACAUCAGUUACUAAUGCCCCAGGGCCUGAAAACAGACCUUUGACUGAAAGAGAGACAGGAGAAAGAAUGACACACACACACACACACACACACACACACACAGAGGAAAACCUUAUUGUGAAUAAAUCCUUCAUUAAGUAUUUAGAAUGGUAUCAGCGCUGGUCCUGCCAUCAUGCUGUGUAUACUCAGUGAUCCACCCAGGAGACAUUGAUCUUCUUCAUAAGGAAUAUAAUGACCACCAGAGAAAUACUGAUCAUAUUUCAGCACCAGUCAAUUCAGUUCAUUAGGGCCGCUCCACCUCCUACUGCGGCCCUGUAUUGAUCUCGCCAGUGUCACCAGACUGUUAUUCCCCGCUAACUAGAUAGGGAACUCAAACUGUAAUUCAUACAGUGGCAACAGCAAGUCGAACAAUAGACUAUAGGGAACAAACAAGCAAAAAUAUAUAAAAGGACGAAGAUUGCCCCAUCUGUGUAGGAGCGCCGUGGACUGUCUGUCUCUGUGCCCUUUCUGCGUUGGCAUCAAAUGUCAGACACGACACAAGAAAUCCUAAAAGUAUCAAGGCUGUCCCCGGGUUUCAGAGAGAAUUUUUCUUAUGCCUCUAAUACCUUUUCCACCGUCUCCUCUCCUCUAAUCUCCACUUAUCUGGCAGCCAGGUGAGCCGCAGCACAUGGCUGGUGGGCAGGCUUUGGUCUGUGGGAAUACAGCUCAUCUUAAUGGUAUUUCUACCCCCUUUUCCUUCUCUUCCCUUUGCUUCUCUUACCCUUUCCUCCAGGGUGGCUGUCAGACCAGAGACGGAGGCAGCCAGAGAACUUCUCAUCGUUGCUGUAGCUGACAGCAGGGAGCCACUGGGAUUGGCCGAGCGACCACAGCCGGCCAUCAUGCAGAGGGGCAGCCAGGCUCACAGCUCUCCAGCCUGAAAGCCAGUCAGCCACGCAGUGAUCAAGCCACCCAGAGAUUUCUAUCAGCUCAGGUAUGUACCACAGGCCUGGAUAUUAAGCAGGAGGUUGCAUACAGGCUGUUUCAGAUCCGUCUUUCCACUUUUUCUGAAUCAACUCAGGCUGGAUAACAACACAGUCUCUGAAAGCACUAGAUGUUGGGGUAGGAAUAAUUUGCAAGAGUAGCUCACACUUACUAAAAGUAUUAAGGACAGCACAAGAGCUCCAAAAGCAAUUCCUUCUUGGCUUAGAAACUUAAUGUUUUCUGUUUGUUGUACAUAGAUAAACUGCUGCCACUGGCUAUUUUACUUAAAGAGGGCCUGGUGCAGUGUUACCAGUUGAAGAAAAUGCAGUUUAAACACUUUUCUUUAUUUUAAAAGGAGUGACAAGGUCUAAUUUGCAUUUCAGGGAAAUACAGUGAGCGUGGCUAAAAGGUGCUAAAGAUUGGUGCACACACAGAACUGCAACUACUUUGUUGGCUAGAUCUUUGUUGCUUAAACUCUAAGAUGUGUGCUCAUAGAAAGAUGGGAGUAAAUGAGGAGGAAAUGAGAGCUUAGUGAAUGAAUGUAGAUUUUUUUAUGUUUCAGCUUUACUCAAAGGGGGAUUGGUCUGGUAGAUAAAGAUCAACUGAUGAAAGUCUGUACUGUUGAACAAAAAAGAAACUACACAUGAGGGGUCAAUUUUCAUUUAUCUACAAGAAUAAAGAAAGAAAGAUUAAUGUUCUGACACAAACGUGUUUUCUUCAAAGUCAAAUAGUAAUGGUACCAUCACAAAGAGGUUAAACAAUCUCCCUGUGUUUCAUGAAGCCAGCACUUCAUAGGAUUUAGAGGCAGGAGUAAGACUCUUACUACACCAAUAUGACAGAGCUCCAUGAGUGCAAUUUGCAAGAGGACCAAGAAAAAAACAUCAUAGUCAAAACAAUAGCACCACCACAACAAAGAUAUAAAUACAUGAUAUAUCACUAUACUGUUUGGAUGGCUUCCCAGAGACUUUCAUCUGAAGAAAUUGAAGCCAUUAAAUGGCUGAGAGAAGGCCAGGCUGGUGCAUUGUGUAAAUUAGAGAAAACUCUGUUGACCCUACAUUCACACUGCAGACAAUUUAGUUCAAAGUAAUCCCCGUUUUCUGACACGUGUUAUGCAAAUGGUAAAAGGCACUGUUAAUGCCGGUACUUCCUAAGAGAGCAGAGAGGAGCAAGGAGCCUAAAACUUCCCUGCACAUAAAAUGAGAACUAAAAAAAAAGUUUUUAGUAUUAGUUUUCUCCAUAAAGUUUAGAGGCUAGUGCUUGUCUUGUUUCAGUUGACCUUAAUAAGUUUGGUAGGUAGACAGGCUAUCAACAGCUACGGCUCCUUAUUCUCCUAAUGGUGUGUUUGUUUUAUUAACUGUUGCUCCUCUUGGCAAUUUGAGCAACUGAACGUGCCAUUCUAGUAAGAAACCUCAUUUCAUGUCUACUGUACUGGUGAAAGUGUGAAAUAGAUCAGAAAUUUCUACCUUAUUUCUAGAAAAUAAAGUCAUAACUUGACCUCCAAUGGCUUCGUGGCUGUUUACUUCGACUUAUAGGUCAUUUUAUAGCUCAAUAAUAUAUCAGUUAUGUUGGCUAUACUGAUAGGAAAAAAUUGGGAUUUGGGAAGAUAUUUUAGAUUUUACAGUGUGUCUGUGCUUUAAUUGUUAGUGCAUUCUGUGUACUAUGUAAGUAUCUUCUGAAUACCCCACUGGACUCUUCAAAAUAUACAUUGAAAUUUUAAUUUGUCGACGUGAGCUGCUGCUUUCCUGCUUUGAUGUCUGUGAUUUUAUUUAAAUAAUAGGUCCUGUAUCCAUGGAAACAAGAAGGCUAAUUAUGAUUGUACCAUAGUUAAUAAUUGUAUGUAUAUUUUGUACGCAUACUCAUGCCUCUCACAUGCUAAAUCUACAUUUCUACACACUAACGAGAAUGAAAGAUUCAGACACAUUGAGCAGCUGGCUGCGCAAAACCUGACCUCUGACCUCAGAGAUAUGUACAGUCUGGAGCGAGCAAAGCAGGAAACACAAAGAAUAUCUGUAGAAAGAGAGGCUCUAAUGAAGAACAUUUCUAUUCUGUUCUGACAGAAACAGCAGGGAAAUGGAGAUACAAAGAGAGAAGUGAUAGAGUGAAAAAAGAAGAAAGUGAGGGGAGAGAUCUGAGAACUGCCUAUUAUCUCCACACUGCUUCAUUGCUUUAGACACACACGGCACACACAUCUGUGCACAGACGUUAAAGUGUGUGCACAAGUACAGACACACACACACACACACACACACACAUACACACACACAAACACACACAACCAUCCUCUCAAAUCUGCCCAGAUCUCAUGAAUAUGAUUGACCUUUUUUCCACUGUAAUGCUGAGAGCGCAUAAAGGGGAAAGGAGAAACUAAACAGAGGCAAGCAGAGUUAAUUUGGAACAACACAUUAUUGGGUGCUGACUGCAGAUAUGGAAAAGGACAAUCUAAUCGAUAAGCUAAAAGAAUGACAAUGGCCUCUCAAAUCAAUGUCUGCACCCCAUUUUCUCACUGUGAAAAGACAAAGCCUUCAGUGCAGGUGUUUUUGUUGUUCUGUUUUGUGCUGUUUGCACCUGUGUGUGUGUGUGUGUGUGUGUGUGUGCAGUAUCUGUACAUGCUCAUGUGCAUGUGGGUGUACCUGGCUGCUGCUGUGGUGGAACAGUUGCCAGGACUAAUCAUUAUUUAGUUGUGGCGGGGCUGGAAAGGUCAGCAGUCUGAAAUGUCAGGCUGUGUUCAACAGGAGCCAGAUGCAGCCGUGCGCUGCUCAAGUGUCCAAUUAAAGAGGGCCGAGUGAGGUUUGAGUGGGUCUGUGUGUGGGAGUGAGUGUGCAUGUGUGUGUGAAAUGAGAAAGAGAGUAAAGAGAUACUGCGUGUUUUUUUGUAGUUUUUUCCUCCAUUGUGUGUAUAUAUCAGAAACACAUGUAAAAAAAAAAAUAUAUAUAUACAUAUAUAGAUAUUUAUACACUCAAUUACGUGUGUGAAUCACUCUUCAGAGUAGCUAAUGAACGCCAUCAGAGACAGAGGCCAACAGAGCAGCAGGGGCAGAAUCCUUAUCAAAUCUCUUUCUCUCUCACACACACGCAGCAUGUUAUGAAGCCACUUGAGCCUAUUAGUUUGUUCCCACCCUGUGAUUCCUCCUGCUGUCCAUGCUAUGAAGACGAGAUGAAGAGAGGUGAAUGAAGGAUAAAGGGAGGAGGGAAUAAUACAACACGAAAAAGGGUCAGAGCAAGAGGACAAAGGCAUUGUGAUAAAAUAAGACCACUAAUAAAACAACUGCAGAUAACGAAAGAUGCUACAUAUAAACGAGCAGAGGAAGAAGUAGCAGAGAGAGAAAGAGGCACGUGAGAGGAUGACAAGGAGAAAGGGAGCGAAGGAGCGGAAACUCCUUUUAAUCUGCAGGGAGAAGGAGAGGGUGUCCUGCCUGUGUUUCCCUAUCAGAGUCAUUCAUCUGAAAGCCUCACCUGCUCUUCAUACAGCCAUCAUAAUAACCUUCACCAUGUUCAGUGUGUGUGUGUGUGUGUGUGUGUGUGUGUGUGUGUGUGUGUGUGUGUGUGUGUGUGUGUGUGCAUGUCCGCUCACCUCCUGUGAAUAGUAAUAAGCAGCAGGGCAGGAUAAAAUAUGUCUGCCAAGUUAAGAAUAUAAUAGACUUCCCUUCAAGGCCACACGUAACAACAGCCUGAAUAAUGACCUGCAAUAAUUUACACAGCAAACUGAGCUCUACAUUGGUCAGAGGAAGAAACCUAAUAAUUGAAAGCUAUUUCAGUCUAUCUAGGGCCCCUGCAUGAGUGUAGACUGGAGGGUAGUUUUGUGUCCACUGGGAUAUACUGUAAGCUUAGCCAAAGAGGGAGAUGCAAAGUUUAAAAGAAAGUUUAAACUAUAUUAAGAUUAAUUCUAUGGGAUGCUACAGUGAUGGUAAUAGUAUAAUUUUAUUAUAUUAUUAUUUAUUAUAUUGUUAUUACUUUUAUAUAUUAUUAUAUUAUUGUAUUAUCUCCUGGGUAAAACUUUGUUGCAAUAGAAAAUACUUGCUGGAGUGCUUGAGUUUGCGGCUGCAUACUGGCGAACCAACAAAAAAAGAUUAAAAUAACCUUGGUGAGUACAGUAGCUUUUAAAAAUAUCAGAUCUCUUUACUUUUCUUUUGUAUAAGAUUUAAUUUAAAUUUUUUAGCUAACAAUUUAGACACCAUGCCUAUAAUGAGGCCCUACACAGACCUAUAAAUAGACAGUUGCUUAAAUGGAAGAAAACAGGAACACAACCAAAAGCAGAACAAAAGCAGUGACGGGAAAGACAGAGUCUGGGUUUACACAACGAUGUACCCAGCGGUUUGUAAAAAAGUCCUGAAAAUCAUUAACUUGAUUUUGGUGGAGUUUGUCAGAAACUUACCAAUGUUUCCCAGGCAGCUUCCAGUUUGAGUUUCAGAUGCAAAGUGCAAUGGACCAAUCUAAAAUAGAUUCAGGUUUUUUCUUAAGAGACAGGGGAACCCCGCAGAAAGACAAACAUCUCUGCAGUACUCCCCAGACCAGAGUCGGUUCUCAGUAUAUAACAUCUGACAGCCCACCUGGAGUUUAACAAACUCAAAGCAUUAGGAAAACUAGCCUCUGCUCUAAUGAGACAAAAACCAGGUAAACUUGGAAUGCCUAAAACAUGAAACAUGGUGAUGGAAACAUGAUCCUACAUGAUAAUGAUCAGAGGCAGGAAUUGGGAGACAUGUCAGGACUGAGGGAAUUAUAUCCUGCACAAGAAACCUGCUCUACAGCUCAAAUGAACUCAGAUUGGUGUGAAAGUCCACAUCAUAACCAAAACUUAAACCAAACUACAGACAAACAGUCGAGAGACUUCAGUAGUCUUUCUUUAGUGGCUUAAGACUGGACAUUAUCCUACAGAAUUGUGCUCCCCAAUUUGUCUGAGUUUGAGAGGAUCUGCAAAGAAAAGAACCUUACCAAACCUGUGGUGGAAAACCAGUAUGAGAUUUACCAAAGAGGACUUGGCACUGACUGUAAUCACAUAAGGCUUCAAGUGUAUAUUGAUGGAAGAUAAAAUAAAAGUCUAUUCCACACGAGAAAAAACACCCACUGAAAAAUGAUAAUCAUUUCCCUUUAAAUCACUUUGUGUAGGUCUAUAACAUAGUAUGAUGGUGUAUUACUUAGUAAUAGCACCUGUAUAGUUGUUUCUGUAAACAUGGCACAUUUAAACAGUACUCUAAUAAACAUAAAAACACCAAAGAUAAGAAACUGGAGGACAUGGAUUGGGCGACAGUUCCUCACAAACCCACCAGGAACACAUGAAGACCAUGAAAGUGUUGUUACAAAGUCUCUCCUUUCCUCCCAGCCCUUUCUCUCUCUCUCGUUGCCCUCUGUCAAACUGUGAUGGCCAGGGGCGAGUCUUGCCUCUGCCCAGGGCCUGAGGAACAGCUGCAACGUAAACCUGCUAAAUUAACCCAGUCUCCAUGAGCCUCACAUAUGCAUUAUUCUAAUCAAAGCAUAUUAGAUCAUCCAGAUACUUUAGACAUAUGGGUCUCUGUAUCCUUCUUGCCGUCCCCAUCUGUUUCUCCUCCCCCGUUCUUCGAAUUUCUCCUUGCUUUCCAUCUCAGUGGAUCCCUCGUUCUCACAGCUGCCGCUCUAUACUAAGAGACUGGCAUAGAUUUCUAACAGUGCAACUACUUUGUGACAUGUUUCCACAUCCAGUCAAACUUGGAGCACCAUAUGUGUGUCUGGCUGGUACAUGUUACGAGUUUGAGGUGCGUUUUGGACACUAUUCAAACUACUUUGCCCAAACUGCAGACAUAUUUUACCUCUCAUGUGCAAACUGAAAAUUAAAUGUAAUCUUAAACAGUACAGUAAUACAGUGUUUCAGUAGUGUAUAAGUGUCAACAAAUAUGUACACACACUAUUCAAUUUUCCAUUUUAAUCCAAGACUUUUCUUUUUUUAAAUUUGAUUUGUUGUGGCUGUGCCUGCUGACAUGGUCCUGCUUGAACCCCAUUGCUAAAAUUAUUCUUAUUAUUAUCACCAUUAUUAUGGAUGUUAUCCUACCUGUCAUCAUAAUCAACAUUAUUAUUGCAUCUCUGUCUCUCUCUCAAUCUCUCUCUACCACCCAUGCCCUCCCCCCUCUACCCCUCUCUCUUCCUCUCUGGUUGAGGCAGACGGCUUCUUAAAAGGACAUUUUUCCUUGCCUCUGUCACCAAGUGCUUGCUCAUGGUGGAAACUUUUCGGUCUUUUUAAAAAGUUUUUGUGGAGUACAGUCUAGACCUGCUGGAUUUGAAAAGUGUCCUGAGAUAACUUCUGUUAUGAUUUGGCGCUAUACAAAUAAGAUUGAACCGAAAAUUGAAUUGAACACAUAACUAGCUUAGGGAGACUCAAGAUCAGUAGGGACUGCUAUUUAGGUUUGGCAAAAUAUAUAGGAAAAAGCACCAGGUCAGACCCUUGUAUGACCCUUUUUUUAUUGGGUGUGUAAUGGCUACACAUUUUUAGAAUUGGAGAAUGGAAGAAUCACGUAAAAUGUAAAAAAAAAAAAAAGAAAAAAGAAAAUUUAGAUUAAUUUAGAAUUUUGUGUCCAAGCCUCAGGAGAGGGGCUAAAGAGCCUCGUAAGGCUCCGGAGCCACAGUUUGAAAAACAUCAAUCACAAUUUCCCAGAGUGACGUCCAUAAACUGCUUUGCUUUUGCAGCAGUCAAAACAGAAACAUAUUUCAUUUACUAUCAUAUAAGAUGAAGAACAGUAAAUCCUCAUGAGCUGGAAUCAAUAAAUAUUUGCUUUAAAAAUUACUGAAACAUUUAAACUAGAUAGAAAUUCUAACCCAGUGUUUUUCAUGUCAACAUAGUUUAAUAACCAUGAGUCCAAAUACCAUCAGAGUGUGAUAAUGAAAGUAAAUGUGAACAAAUAUCAACAAAUCUCACACCAGAAGUGACAUUAGUACAAUUGUAUUCUGUCACAGAAGUAUUAUGACAGUCCACAAUUACUGUUAGACAGUUAUCUGACCUAUUGACUAAUCUCUUCACAAUCCCAAAAUGAGAACAGAGUCUCCCAUAUGCUACAAAACCUGCUCCUACAACACACACAAACACAUAGAAGAAUGUAUGCACACGUACGGUGCACACGCCUGGGGGCACAUGUUCGCCCAAAUGACUUGCGUGACUACAACUGAAUUCAUGAGUUCCGCAUUAUAUCCCAUUAUAAAAGCUCAAAGGCAAUACUUCUUUGACAUUUAAUACAUCACAUCCUAAGACAGAAUCCCUUAAAGGGACAUUGUGUAGGAAUUUCUCCCAUCUAGCGGUGAAAUUGUAUUUUGCAUUCAAACAAAUAGUGCUCUCUAGUGCCUUGCGUUUUCAAAUGCGUAUUGCAACUACGGUAGCCGUUAUGUACCAAGAAGCCUACCUGUCGAGGAGAAAGCAGGCAACUUCAGCGUCCCUUUGAAAGUCUUUCUCCUUCAUUAGCUCUUUCCACCUGGGAAAAGCUACCCCAAUGUUUACCCUCGUUUUUUGAAUUCGCCGGUCACAUUGCCUUUUUAAUUCCCCUAUUUGCUUUUUUGGAGACGAGGAUUCCUUCUCCUGUGGCUCGGCAGUGCAGACUUUCAAAUUUUCCCGGGGCAGUGACAAGCGCCUCUCACUAACUUCUCCGUUGCUCACUAACUUCUCCGUUGGCGGAACGACAUGGAAGCCUCCAUGGAUUUGCCCGUCCAAUGUACAUACAGAUAAGAAAUUCUUCACUUACGAGGGUAAGUCAGAUCAUUGGCAGAGGUAAUUUUACACCAAUGAGGACACAUUUAUGAAUGAAGACAUUGAUUUUAGCUAAUAAAAUACUUAAAACACUACACAAUGUCCCUUUAACAUGCAUAGAGUUGCUCAAGUAACUGACCAGCAGCCAUCAAAUCAGCAGUGCUGUGCUCCAGGGUUUUCCACAGCACAAGCACCCUGUCUGCGCUUGUCUGUGCAGACACUAACUCGACAGCUAUUUGUUUGUGUAUGAAAGCAGCAUCCAGAAACAACUUGUAACCCUUUUAGCAUCUAGAAGUGGGUUAGAGGAAAACACACUGGGUGCCUUACUGGCACGUCUCUAUCAAAUCAAGUACACUGAUACUGAGCUUCCUAUGGGAGCAGUGUAGUUUCAUCAGUGGUGGAGUGUUGAAGUAGAGAGGUGGACUGUGAGCAGAAGGGA